CCACCCGUGUCACCGGGUGAAUCUAAGGGCCUGAAUAAAGAGCGGUCCUGACAACGUAACGAAGCACCACGAGGUGCGGGGUAUCAAAUCGC
rfam:Geobacteraceae bacterium GWC2_58_44 gwc2_scaffold_4746, whole genome shotgun sequence.